AAUAGUAAAAAUUAUAUAAAUGCAACUUUGAAAAUGCAAUAAACUUUAGCGAGGAUUGAUGUUGGACAUUAGCCUUGGAGAAUAAAACUGAUAUAGAAAAUUUAUAUCAGAUAUAUUAAAAUCUUUCAACACAUUUCACAACUCCUACUUCUAAAAUUAAAAGCUGAUAGAAUAAAUGACUUAAUCUACAAUUGUAUUUUGAUGUUACCUAAGAGAUCGGCAUUAGAGUAUCAUUGUUGGUGGUGCAUACUCAGAAUGGAUAAUACUGAUGCACCGUUAAACUGAAGGUGGUAAUAAAGUUUACAAAAUUUGGUCUGGCUGAAUUUUUCAAUGAAAAAACAAUAUGUGUGCUUUGAAUGUAAUCUGUUUUUCAUGGCGUAUUAAUGAAAGUUUGAUGUAUUGGCCAAAUCACUUGCAAGCAUCUUGCCUUUAAACUGCCAUACGUAAAGUCACGCUUUUAAAAGUAACUGAAAGCAGGUGAAAAUAAGAAUUUUUUUGUAAAUGUCUUAUUUACAAUAUUGAUUUUGUUUUAUUUACAGUAUUGUCUUUGUUUUUUAUCUAAACAGCUAUGUUUGACUCAAAUAUAGUAAAUGUUGAUUGUUUAGUAUGGUUUCAUCUCUUCUUUAUACUUUUUUUUGACAGUUAUGAGACUGCUUUAGAACGGAAUUGUCUGCGUUUCUAGCUUAAAAGGAUGCAGGUUACAAAAAAAGUGACACUGAGAGACAGAUUGUCUCUCAUUUUCUCAAAGAUUGAAGAGAUCUUUUGUGUUUUAGAGUUAAAUGAAUUCAUCAGAGCUUUGCUUGACUAUCUCUUUCAAUUUAUUGAAUUUAUUUGCCGGUUAUAAAUGAAAAAAGAUCUUUUAAACCUAGAAGAAGAAAUAUGGAACAAAGACACCUUAUGAAUCAAUGGUAUAUAUCAGUGAAUUGAUAUUAGUUAAUAGUUUAUGGAAACAGUACCAUGUACUAUUAAAGUUUCUUAUUUUUAAAAUAUAUGAUACAUUUAUAUGAAACAUACAAACAAAUGAUACAAUAUGAUACGUGAUUGGCUAUAAUUAUGUUGUAUAUCAGAAUGUUUUAUAUAAAUGCUUAUUACAUUUUAUUGUGAUUUUUAUCUUUUAUGCCCAGUUAGCAAUGUAUUUUGUGUAGCAAUGACUUCUAAUCUCAGAUAUCUUUGACAUCUGUAGGGUGUAUUCACCGCUACAGAUGUCAUAAUCUAUUUAUAACCAAUUGCUUUUACUCUUUCAUAAUGUCAUAUUUUAAUAAAUCACAUUAUGGAAAACCGUCUAAUACAUACACAUGAGGAACCAUUAUACUUUUAGUACAACCAAUUAUAUUACAUUUGUUUUCUUAUUUUAGAUGAACUUUAUUACUUCGGUUGGAGGAGACGAGAAACAACUUACAGCGGCAAUCUUAAUACAGCUAAUGGCCAAAGAAGUAUGUUUUUCAUACUCAGUGUAUGGAAUGAAACAAAAACAUCCUGCAUGGUCGUUAUAGAGUUACGUUUAGUCGUUUAUCGUUGUAUUUGUUUAUUUCGAAAUUGCUACUGACAAGGGUAUUAAAGAAAAAAUUGGCAGUUUUUUGGUGACGGCCAUUAUUAGAGAUUAUGGAAGAAAAAUAGAACCGUA